rnacentral:lncRNA from 1 species
GUCAGCUGUUUGUGACAUGACAUGGGUUUGAGACUCCUUCUUUCCCAGCGUGCCCCACAGGGGAAGUCUCUAGAGCCAGGCCCACCCGGGGACAGCAGAGCAGAGCCCUCCCUCUACCUCCAGGACCUAAAUUCUGCAGUAGGGCCAUCUGCCCUGACACCUUCCAAAAGGGUCAUGGUAGAAGAUAUGAAGCAGAAGUCUGCGAGGAUUUCAUCUUCCAACUUUGAGGACCAGUUGAUCAUGAAAACAAGCAAGGCAGGUGGCUGUUACCAUUAACUACAGUUCACAUGGGAGGAAGCUGAGCAACUUCCCUAAGAAAUUCAGCCAGGAAGUAGCAGAGAAAGGGGAUUGAACCCAGGUCUUUGGCCUUGAGCCCCUUUUUCCCUCUGGUCAAAACUGCAUUCCUGGAACUUAUGGCUGGUUAUGUUUCUGGGAAAGGCACUACAAGUUGAAAUGAUGUAAGUCUAAUCUAAUUUAUUAACAGAAAAGUUUUAUAAUGGAG